rnacentral:rRNA from 1 species
AUUGAACGCUUGCGGCAGGCUCAACACAUGCAAGUCGAGCGGAGAGAGGUAGCUUGCUACUGAUCUUAGCGGCGGACGGGUGAGUAAUGCUUAGGAAUCUGCCGAUUAGUGGGGGACAACAUUUCGAAAGGAAUGCUAAUACCGCAUACGUACUACGGGAGAAAGCAGGGGAUAUUCGGACCUGGCGCUAAUAGAUGAGCCGAAGUCUGAUUAGCUAGUUGGUGGGGUAAAGGCCUACCAAGGCUACUAUCUGUAGCGGGUCUGGGAGGAUGAUACGCCACACUGGGACUGAGACACGGCCCAGACUCCUACGGGAGGCAGCAGUGGGGAAUAUUGGACAAUGGGCGGAAGACUGAUCCAGCCAUGCCGCGUGUGUGAAGAAGGCCUUAUGGUUGUAAAGCACUUUAAGCGAGGAGGAGGCUACUUUAGUUAAUACCUAGAGAUAGUGGACGUUACUCGCAGAAUAAGCACCGGCUAACUCUGUGCCAGCCGCCGCAGUAA